AACAACAAAACUUAAACUAUGCUUUGCCCAAAUUCCAUAUCUCAAUUUACAACAUUAAUAAUUGACAACAAAACUAAAACUACAGUGACAAAAUUUAAUAUAUCAAAAUAUACAACAUUAAUAACCAACAACAAAACUUAAACUAUAAAUAUCUCAAUAUUUACAACACUAAUCACCAACAACAAAACUUGAACUACAUUGACCAAUUUUGAUAUCUCAAAAUUUACAACACUUAUAACCAAC
rnacentral:lncRNA from 1 species